rnacentral:rRNA from 1 species
CAGCCGUAAACUAUGCGCGUUAGAUGUACCGGUGACCACGAGUCACCGAGGUGCCGAAGGGAAACCGUGAAACGUGCCGCCUGGGAAGUACGGUCGCAAGGCCGAAACUUAAAGGAAUUGGCGGGGGAGCACCACGACGGGUGGAGCCUGCGGUUUAAUUGGACUCAACGCCGGGAAGCUCACCGGAUAGGACAGCAGAAUGAUUGCCGGGCUGAAGACCCUGCAUGACUAGCUGAGAGGAGGUGCAUGGCGUCAGUG